CGCAGUAGGGGCCGCAGGAGGCCCGACGGGCGAUGACUCUGGGGAGUGCUGCCGGGAAGAUGCCUAAAAAGAAGCGGGAGAAUCUGAGCGUGGCUCAGGAGAUAGAUGGGCUUGAAGAGAAGCUGACCCUGUGCCGGAGGAGCCUGGAGGAAGUGACCGGCCGCCUUCGUACUGAGGAGCUGAGCCCGGAAGCCAGGAGAGCGCUGGAGAAGGAAAAAAACAACCUGACGAGCAGAGCCUGCGGCUACGAAAGGGAGCUGAAGUCCCUCCGGAGAGAGAACUGUAAGAACACACUGCUGUCCAUGGCCAUCUUCUUGCUCCUUCUGCUCAUCUACGUCUACUGGACCAUGUAGCCCUGCUGGUUUCCAGCAUAAGCCACAGGAAGCCGCCAUGCUUUUGGAGACAGGGUCUCCCAGACAGAUCUUGGAUUGUGAUGUGCCACCGACUGGCCAGCUGUGUGAUUUAUAUAACUGAGCAAGGCAGGUCCUUCCACCUCGGCCUUGUCAGGAAGAGAAUCCAAUCUCGGCCUCCAUUCCACGUUUCCAAGGAGAAACAUGAGAGCUUAACCACCGCAGACUUCCCGAAAGGAACUCCGUUUUCCAGGGUGUCUGAGCCUCUGGAUUUGAAAGCGGCUUUUAGACAACCCCUUCUGCAACACCUCACAGCCCAGACGGUCUACAACCAAGUCAGCCAGUUGCCACACUACAAAGUGCCAACCAUCGGUACAAAAUAACACGGGUUUUAAAAAUA